AUUGAACGCUGGCGGCAGGCCUAACACAUGCAAGUCGAGCGAGCGGCGGACGGGUGAGUAAUGUCUGGGAAACUGCCUGAUGGAGGGGGAUAACUACUGGAAACGGUAGCUAAUACCGCAUACCAUCGGAUGUGCCCAGAUGGGAUUAGCUAGUAGGUGGGGUAACGGCUCACCUAGGCGACGAUCCCUAGCUGGUCUGAGAGGAUGACGAGCCACACUGGGACUGAGACACGGUCCAGCAUCCUACGGGCGACAGAAGUGGGGAAUAUGGCACAGUGGGCGCAAGCCUUAUGCAGCCAUGCCGCUUGUAUGAAGAAGGCCUUCGGGUUGUAAAGUACUUUCAGCGGGGAGGCGUUACCCGCAGAAGAAGCACCGGCUAACUCCGUGCCAGCAGCCGCGGUAAUAC
rnacentral:rRNA from 1 species